rnacentral:rRNA from 1 species
CGUAGGGUGCGAGCGUUAAUCGGAAUUACUGGGCGUAAAGCGUGCGCAGGCGGUUUUGUAAGACAGAUGUGAAAUCCCCGGGCUCAACCUGGGACCUGCAUUUGUGACUGCAAGGCUAGAGUACGGUAGAGGGGGAUGGAAUUCCGCGUGUAGCAGUGAAAUGCGUAGAUAUGCGGAGGAACACCGAUGGCGAAGGCAAUCCCCUGGACCUGUACUGACGCUCAUGCACGAAAGCGUGGGGAGCAAACAGGAUUAGAUACCCUGGUAGUCCACGCCCUAAACGAUGUCAACUGGUUGUUGGGUCUUUACUGACUCAGUAACGAAGCCAACGCGUGAAGUUGACCGCCUGGGGAGUACGGCCGCAAGGUUG